UAGGGAAUAUUGCGCAAUGGGGGCAACCCUGACGCAGCAAUGCCGCGUGAGUGAGGAAGGCCUUCGGGUUGUAAAGCUCUGUCCUUAGGGAAAAAUGGCGAAUUAGUGAACAGCUAGUUCGAUUGAUGGUACCUAAGAAGAAAGCACCGGCUAACUUCGUGCCAGCAGCCGCGGUAAUACGAAGGGUGCAAGCGUUGUUCGGAUUUAUUGGGCGUAAAGCGCGCGCAGGCGGAUUGAUAAGUCAGGUGUGAAAUCUCGAGGCUUAACCUCGAAAUUGCGCCUGAAACUAUCGAUCUGGAAUCUUGGAGAGGGAAGGGGAAUAUCUCAUGUAGGGGUAAAAUCCGUAGAUAUGAGAUGGAACACCAGAGGCGAAGGCGCCUUCCUGGACAAGUAUUGACGCUGAGGCGCGAAAGCGUGGGGAGCAAACAGG
rnacentral:rRNA from 1 species